rnacentral:rRNA from 1 species
GGAAUUGUAAUUUGAAGAGAUUUGGGUCCGGCCGGCGGGGGUUAAGUCCACUGGAAAGUGGCGCCACAGAGGGUGACAGCCCCGUGAACCCCUUUAAAGCCCUCAUCCCAGAUCUCCAAGAGUCGAGUUGUUUGGGAAUGCAGCUCUAAGUGGGUGGUAAAUUCCAUCUAAAGCUAAAUACCGGCGAGAGACCGAUAGCGAACAAGUACAGUGAUGGAAAGAUGAAAAGCACUUUGAAAAGAGAGUGAAAAAGUACGUGAAAUUGUUGAAAGGGAAGGGCUUGCAAGCAGACACUUAACUGGGCCAGCAUCGGGGCGGCGGGAAACAAAACCACCGGGGAAUGUACCUUUCGAGGAUUAUAACCCCGGUCUCAAUUUCCUUGUUGCCCCGAGGCCUGCAAUCUAAGGAUGCUGGCGUAAUGGUUGCAAGUCGCC